rnacentral:rRNA from 1 species
AUUGAACGCUGGCGGCAGGCUUAACACAUGCAAGUCGAGCGGAGAUGAGGUGCUUGCACCUUAUCUUAGCGGCGGACGGGUGAGUAAUGCUUAGGAAUCUGCCUAUUAGUGGGGGACAACAUUCCGAAAGGAAUGCUAAUACCGCAUACGCCCUACGGGGGAAAGCAGGGGAUCUUCGGACCUUGCGCUAAUAGAUGAGCCUAAGUCGGAUUAGCUAGUUGGUGGGGUAAAGGCCUACCAAGGCGACGAUCUGUAGCGGGUCUGAGAGGAUGAUCCGCCAAACUGGGACUGAGACACGGCCCAGACUCCUACGGGAGGUAGCAGUGGGGAAUAUUGGACAAUGGGCGGAAGCCUGAUCCAGCCAUGCCGCGUGUGUGAAGAAGGCCUUUUGGUUGUAAAGCACUUUAAGCGAGGAGGAGGCUACCUGGAUUAAUACUCUAGGAUAGUGGACGUUACUCGCAGAAUAAGCACCGGCUAACUCUGUGCCAGCCGCCGCGGUAACAC